rnacentral:tRNA from 4 species
GGUGAGUUGUCCGAGUGGCUGAAGGAGCACGCCUGGAAAGUGUGUGUAUGGCAACGUACCGAGAGUUCGAAUCUCUCACUCACCACCA